UGGGGAAUAUUGCACAAUGGGCGCAAGCCUGAUGCAGCCAUGCCGCGUGUGUGAAGAAGGCCUUCGGGUUGUAAAGCACUUUCAGCGAGGAGGAAGGUGGUGAGCUUAAUACGCUCAUCAAUUGACGUUACUCGCAGAAGAAGCACCGGCUAACUCCGCGCCAGCAGCCGCGGUAAUACGGAGGGUGCAAGCGUUAAUCGGAAUUACUGGGCGUAAAGCGCACGCAGGCGGUUUGUUAAGUCAGAUGUGAAAUCCCCGGGCUCAACCUGGGAACUGCAUUUGAAACUGGCAAGCUAGAGUCUCGUAGAGGGGGGUAGAAUUCCAGGUGUAGCGGUGAAAUGCGUAGAGAUCUGGAGGAAUACCGGUGGCGAAGGCGGCCCCCUGGACGAAGACUGACGCUCAGGUGCGAAAGCGUGGGGCAGCAAACAGGAUUAGAUACCCUGGUAGUCCACGCUGUAAACGAUGUCGAUUUUGGAGGUUGUGCCCUUGAGGCGUGGCUUCCGGAGCUAACGCGUUAAAUCGACCGCCUGGGGAGUACGGCCGCAAGGUUAAAACUCAAAGGAAUUGACGGGGUCAUAGCUGUUUCCU
rnacentral:rRNA from 1 species